GUUUAUCAAAAACAUUGCCACUUGAAUUACUAAUAAGUGGUUCAUCCUGCCCAGUGAUUAUUUUCAACGGCCGCGGUAUCCUGACCGUGCAAAGGUAGCAUAAUCAUUUGCCUAUUAAUUGUAGGCUAGUAUGAACGGACAAACGCGAACUUAACUGUCUCCUUUAGGUGUAUAAAAAUUUAUAUUUAAGUGAAGAAGCUUAAAUACACUCGCAGGACAAGAAGACCCUAUAGAGCUUUACCAUAAACCUUAAUACUUAAGCUAAUUGGUUCGGUUGGGGCGACCAAGGAACACAAAACAUCCUUAACAAAUAAGAUUUUCUAAUCAUAAAAAUAGAUCCUUAACUAAGAUCACAGAAUCAAGCUACCUUAGGGAUAACAGGCUAAUUCCUCUAGAGAGCCCUUAUUGACAGAGGAGGUUGGCACCUCGAUGUUGGCUUAGGAUUUCUUUGUGACGCAGCAGUCACAACCAGAUGGUUUGUUCAACCAUUAAAUUCCUACGUGAUCUGAGUUCA
rnacentral:rRNA from 1 species